rnacentral:piRNA from 1 species
UACCCAAGUAAACAUACAACUGACAUGGG